GAUGAACGCUAGCGGCAGGCCUAACACAUGCAAGUCGAGGGUAACGAUAGAAAAGCUUGCUUUUCUGAUGACGACCGGCGCACGGGUGCGUAACGCGUAUACAACCUACCUUUUAGCGGGGAAUAGCCCAGGGAAACUUGGAUUAAUGCCUCAUAGUAUAUAAGCUUCUCCUGAAGUUUAUAUUAAACAUUUAUGGCUAUUAGAUGGGUAUGCGUCCUAUUAGUUAGUUGGUAAGGUAACGGCUUACCAAGGCAGCGAUAGGUAGGGGUCCUGAGAGGGAGAUCCCCACACUGGUACUGAGACACGGACCAGACUCCUACGGGAGGCAGCAGUGAGGAAUAUUGGACAAUGGGCGAGAGCCUGAUCCAGCCAUGCCGCGUGCAGGAAGACUGCCCUAUGGGUUGUAAACUGCUUUUACAGAGGAAGAACCACCCCCACGUGUGGGGGUUUGACGGUACUCUGCGAAUAAGGAUCGGCUAACUCCGUG
rnacentral:rRNA from 1 species